rnacentral:rRNA from 1 species
UUACCAGAGAGUUUGAUCCUGGCUCAGGAUGAACGCUGGCGGCGUGGAUAAGGCAUGCAAGUCGCGCGGAUGCAACGGCCGCAAGGUUGUUGCAUUAGCGGCGAACGAGUUAGUAACACAUUGGUACCUCUACCGAAGACGGGCACAACCAGCCGAAAGGUUGGCUAAUACCCGAUGGUCCUCGCCUAAAUUUUUGGAGAAAAGCUGCAUACGAUGUUCUUGGGAGUAAAAAGAUAUCUUUAGUCUUAGGAUGUAUGACGAGAAGUUUGUCUCCAAAAACUUAGGCGUGGUAAAGCAGCAAUGCGCUUCGGGAAGGGCCUAUGGCCUAUCAGCUUGUUGGUGAGGUAAUGGCUUACCAAGGCUAUGACGGGUAGGGGGUGUGAGAGCACGGCCCCCAACGAUGGGACUGGGACACGGCCCAUACACCUACGGGUGGCUGCAGUCGAGAAUCUUCCACAAUGGGCGAAAGCCUGAUGGAGCGACGCCGCGUGCAGGAUGAAGGCCUUCGGGUCGUAAACUGCUUUUGCCGGGGACGAAUUUUUGACGGUACCCGGCGAAUAAGGGGUUGCUAACUCUGUGCCAGCAGCAGCGGUAAUACAGAGACCUCAAGCGUUAUCCGGAUUUAUUGGGCGUAAAGCGUCUGUAGGUGGUACAGCGGGUUAGGGGUUAAAUCCCGAUGCUUAACAU